rnacentral:tRNA from 1 species
UGUAGCUUAGUGUUAGAGCACUUGCCUAGCAUGCAUGAAGCCCUGAGUUCAAACUCCAGCA